rnacentral:rRNA from 1 species
AUUGAACGCUGGCGGCAGGCCUAACACAUGCAAGUCGAACGGUAACAGGAAACAGCUUGCUGUUUCGCUGACGAGUGGCGGACGGGUGAGUAAUGUCUGGGAAACUGCCUGAUGGAGGGGGAUAACUACUGGAAACGGUAGCUAAUACCGCAUAACGUCGCAAGACCAAAGAGGGGGACCUUCGGGCCUCUUGCCAUCGGAUGUGCCCAGAUGGGAUUAGCUAGUAGGUGGGGUAACGGCUCACCUAGGCGACGAUCCCUAGCUGGUCUGAGAGGAUGACCAGCCACACUGGAACUGAGACACGGUCCAGACUCCUACGGGAGGCAGCAGUGGGGAAUAUUGCACAAUGGGCGCAAGCCUGAUGCAGCCAUGCCGCGUGUAUGAAGAAGGCCUUCGGGUUGUAAAGUACUUUCAGCGGGGAGGAAGGGAGUAAAGUUAAUACCUUUACUCAUUGACGUUACCCGCAGAAGAAGCACCGGCUAGCUCCGUG